rnacentral:lncRNA from 1 species
UGUGAUUAAUCCCUUUACUCUCUGUAGUUGUCAUAGCUCCUGUUAUGGACCAAGGAGAUGUCAUUGCUGUCCUUUUGAUCAGCUGUGGAGAGACCAGUGAUGAGAAGGACAAAGAUUUAGACUUGCUAGAGAAGCAUAUCACAGCAGCUUGUAAAAGAGUGCUCAAUCUGAAGGCCAACAGGUCGUUAAUGAGCCCACUGAUCAAUACAUCUGAGAAUCAUUCACCAGCUCCACUGCAUAGUGCAGGAAAUGGAGACCUGGCUCAGAAAGUCCUCCAGCUGUGUGGUAUGCACUGA